rnacentral:rRNA from 1 species
AACGAACGCUGGCGGCAUGCCUAACACAUGCAAGUCGAACGAGACCUUCGGGUCUAGUGGCGCACGGGUGCGUAACGCGUGGGAACCUGCCCUUAGGUUCGGAAUAACUCCCCGAAAGGGGUGCUAAUACCGGAUAAUGUCUUCGGACCAAAGAUUUAUCGCCUUUGGAUGGGCCCGCGUUGGAUUAGCUAGUUGGUAGGGUAAAAGCCUACCGAGGCGACGAUCCAUAGCUGGUCUGAGAGGAUGAUCAGCCACACUGGGACUGAGACACGGCCCAGACUCCUACGGGAGGCAGCAGUGGGGAAUAUGGGACAAUGGGCGAAAGCCUGAUCCAGCAAUGCCGCGUGAGUGAUGAAGGCCUUAGGGUUGUAAAGCUCUUUUACCCGGGAUGAUAAUGACAGUACCGGGAGAAUAAGCUCCGGCUAACUCCGU